AUUGAACGCUGGCGGCAUGCCUUACACAUGCAAGUCGAACGGCAGCACGGGUGCUUGCCCCUGGUGGCGAGUGGCGAACGGGUGAGUAAUACAUCGGAACAUGUCCUGUAGUGGGGGAUAGCCCGGCGAAAGCCGGAUUAAUACCGCAUACGAUCUACGGAUGAAAGCGGGGGACCUUCGGGCCUCGCGCUAUAGGGUUGGCCGAUGGCUGAUUAGCUAGUUGGUGGGGUAAAGGCCUACCAAGGCGACGAUCAGUAGCUGGUCUGAGGGGACGACCAGCCACACUGGGACUGAGACACGGCCCAGACUCCUACGGGAGGCAGCAGUGGGGAAUUUUGGACAAUGGGCGAAAGCCUGAUCCAGCAAUGCCGCGUGUGUGAAGAAGGCCUUCGGGUUGUAAAGCACUUUUGUCCGGAAAGAAAUCCUUGGCUCUAAUACAGUCGGGGGAUGACGGUACCGGAAGAAUAAGCACCGGCUAACUACGUG
rnacentral:rRNA from 1 species